ACCUGGGUAGCUCAGUUGGUUAAGCUUCUGACUUCAAGUCAGGUCAUCAUGUCACUGUUCAUGGGUUCGAGCCUCAUUUUGGGCU
rnacentral:tRNA from 1 species